CCGCAGCUUUGUGAUCUUACAAUGUCACAUUUUAAGAUGAGAUGUUUCAGGUUGUGGAUGUUUUAUUGGUGAUGUUUGGUGUUUAGAAACGGUUGUAGGUUAUGAGAAAGGAUCAAAAGGCUAUGGCUAUGUCGACUUUGAGUCUGCCGAGGCAGCGGAUAGGGCGAUGAAGAGGAUCAAUAGCAAACCUCCUUAAAAACCGCAAAGUGUUUAUUGAACACUUUACAUUCUGUGAGGAGUGUGAGGCUGAGGUGGACCCCCGCUUUCUGAAAGACAGCUUCAGCAUUCCAGUGAUGAUCCCUAAUAGAUAGUGUUAUGAGAUCUAAACCUUCACAUGAAUAUAAUGACUUGAACAUGAAAUAAACACUAGGAGCAAGUCUCAUUAGAAAGUAUUCUAGAGUUUAAGCUGAGGCUUUAAAUGGUGUGUGAGUGCGUGGGAAGGAGUUGAAUGGCAAGCAGUUGUACGUGGGCUGAGCACAGACUAAAGUAGAGAGACAGACCAAACUCAAUCACAAGUUCGAGCAGGUAAACACACACGCCUGACUUCCCAUGCCCGAAUCCUUAACUAAAGUGGAUCUGCAACCGAGUAUAAAAAAUGACAAUUUAAUUUAUGAUUAUGUUAGUUUACGAUUAUGUUAGUAGGGGGAUGACAUGUAAAAUGUGCUGUAAUUCCUACACCAUUCACCCA